rnacentral:lncRNA from 1 species
AAAAGGCUUUGUUUAUAAUUAUCUGGGCAGAAUCAAGUAUGCCAGUGCAUGUCUUUAAUGCCAGUACUUAAGAGGCAGAUGGAGCUCUGUGAGUUCAAGGCCAACCUGGUCUACAUAGUGUGUUCCAGGUCAGCCAGAGCUAGAAAAUGACAUUGUCUCAAAAAAGCAAACAGUCGCCAGGUAGUGUUUGGCGCAUGCCUUUAAUCUCAGCACUCGGAAGGCACAAGGCAGGUGGAUUUCUGAGUUCGAGGCCAGCCUGGUCUACAGAGUAAGUUCCAGGACAGCCAGGGCUAUACAGAGAAACCCUGUCUCAGGAAAACAAAACAAAACAAAACAAAACAAAACAAAACAAAACAAAAGAGCAAACAAUCAAAACAAUUUCAUAUAGACCUGUUCCUGAGGAAGAAGUUCUGCAAUCACCAAGACUCCAGAGGCUGAGGGAGGACAAUAGAGAGUUCACGGUAAGCAUAGGCUACAUAGUGAGACCUCAUCAUAAAUUAUUUCACUAACUGUACUAAUUAAAUAGUCAAAUAUCGAGAAUUCUAUAUGUUUGCUCUUUUGGCAAAAUAGAAUAGAAACAUUUAACAAACUGAAAUUAUAGCCCCUGAAGUCUGUGACUUCUGUUAGUAUCAUAUUACCGAGACACACGCCACCAGUUUCCAACAGUUUUACUUGCCUGCUUGUUUUUAAAUUACUGGUAAGACAGUUUGAAAUUAUUUUCUAAAACUCUUUGUUGACCUCUCCCCAGAAAUGUAUUUCAAGUUUGGAGUAAAAUAUUAAGAAAAACAGUUUGAAGAAGAGUUGUCAUCCAUUGAAAUAAUUUGUGCAAUUUUUUGUAUAGAAUUUUUUUUACUCUAAAUUCUUGAAAUAUGGAUAGAUUUCAACUUUUUAAAUUAGCAACAAUGUUCAUAAUAAAUAAUCAAAUUAAGCAUGCAUCCUUUUUCUUUAGCAAAAGGCAUAGUGUCUCAGAUAAAAAUACUUAGUUCAGUGUGGUGGCAUGCAUCUUUUAAUUUCCUGUGCACUGGUGUUUUGUCUGUGUGUAUGUCUGUGUGAGGGUGUUGGAUCCUUUGGAACUGGAGUUACAGACAGUUGUGAGCUGACAUGUGGGUGCUGGGAAUCUCCUCGUUCUCUGAAAGAGCAGCCAGUGUUCUUAACUGCUGAGCUAUCUCUCCAAGCCCCAGUGGCACAUUUUAAUUUUCCUACUUAAAGGGCUGACACAGGAGAAUCACAAGUUCUAGGCCAGCCUGGGCUAUAUACCAAGACCCUAUGAGGAAGAAAG